rnacentral:tRNA from 1 species
AGCAGAUUAAUCUAAGUUUAAGAUGGCGGGCUUCAAACCCGACUAUAAGCGAUUAUUGCUUAUCUGUUG